UACGUAGGUGGCAAGCGUUGUCCGGAAUUAUUGGGCGUAAAGCGCGCGCAGACGGUCCUUUAAGUCUGAUGUGAAAGCCCACGGCUCAACCGUGGAGGGUCAUUGGAAACUGGAGGACUUGAGUACAGAAGAGGAAAGUGGAAUUCCACGUGUAGCGGUGAAAUGCGUAGAGAUGUGGAGGAACACCAGUGGCGAAGGCGACUUUCCGGUCUGUAACUGACGUUGAGGCGCGAAAGCGUGGGGAGCAAACAGG
rnacentral:rRNA from 1 species